rnacentral:lncRNA from 1 species
GGCCCGCUUCGGUUUUAUCCGGCGCAUCCUUUCCCUCGCACACGCACCCCACCAACUUCCUUGCCUCCGACCCUACCGAGGCCGCGCUGCGACUUUUUCUUUUUCCCUCUCCGACUCACCUCCACCGCCUCCAACGACGAUGCCUAUUUCACCAUCUCUCGCCCUUCUCACCCUUUUUUCUCCCUCCUCCUUCGCCUCCUCCGCCGCCUCCGACGACUUUUCUCUCAAAUAGUAUAAGUUUUGUUUAAAACAGUGCAACGUUUCUCUGAAAUAGUGUAACUUCAUCAUCUUCUUUUUUUUUAUCUGAUUUUUUAUUUUUCUUGUAAUUUUUUUUCACCCUCUCCGACCCUCAUCAUCUCCUCUGCCGCCUCGAGGCCCUCGGCAAUAGUAACGAGGGCGGCGCCACAUGCUCUUCCUCCAUCUACUCCUCCGCCGGCGCCGGAGGCCCUUGGCGACAGUAACGAGGGCGGUGCUGCCUCCUCCGCCAGCGUCGGAGAAAAAGAAGAACUCAAAACAGCCCGGGAUGAGGGACAGAGGCAAUGAGGUCGUUGUCGAGCAGGUACUCGUCACCCGUGAGGGUGAGGAAAAAAAAAAAAAGGGCCCAUCUCCAAGAAACGAACAAAGAUGCAAAUAGUAGAGAAAAAUUAAGAAUAAAAAGUAAAAAAAAAUAUUUUUUUUAAGAAAACAAUUAUAUAUUAUUUUUUGAUAGCAAUAAUGAUAUAUAAUGGUCCUUCUCAUCCGAAUCCGCUUUCAGUUCUCUUUCUCCUUCUUCGGCGUCGGCGGAGGAAGCGGCACCGCCAUCGUUACCGUCGUCGAGGGCCGCCGGCGCCGGCGGAAGAGAAGAUGGAGGAAGAGGUUGUGACACCACCUUCGUUACUGUUGCCGAGGGUCCUGAGGCGGUGGAGGAGACGAUGAGGGUCGGAGAGGGUGAAAAGAAGUUACAAGAAAAAUAAAAAGUCAGAUAGAAAAGAAGAUGAUGAUGAAAUUACACUAUUUUAGAAGAACGUUGCACUUUUUGGACGAAAAUUAUACUAUUUCUCUUCUUCAUCCUCCUCCUCCUUUCUUGUUUUCGUAUGGAUGAUGAGAAAUAGUGUAAUUUUCACCCAAAAAAUACAAAUUUCAUUCAAAUUAAGAAUGCAACUUUUAUUUAGAAAAAUAUUUUUGUUUAAAACAGUGCAAUGUCCCUCUAAAAUAAUGCAUCUUCAUCUUAUUCUUAUUUUCUUUCUGAUUCUUUAUUUUUAUUGUAGAAAAAAGUAUUUCUUAUAUUUUAUUCUUUAUUCUUUUCAUUUUAUUAUUUUCUAUAUUUGUUUUCUUGGUCCUCUUUCUUUGCCGUCGGUGUCGGUGCAUGCGCCGGCGAAGGCAGAGUAAGAGGACGCGGCGCUAUUUUUAUUACUGUCAUGGAAGAUCGCAGGGGUGGUUGAGGGGGAUCAAAUAGAAAAAAAAAAAAAGAAUGAGCGAAAAAAAUGAAAGGAAGAGAAUGCGGCAUUACGCUCUUUACUGUCGUAAAGAGCCAAGGAAUUAAGCGAUGGAGGAGGGUCGUAGAGGAAAAAAAAAAAAAAAAGAGGGUCGUGGCACGGCCUCGGCGGGAUUAGAGACAAGGAAGGCAGAGGGUACGCGGACGAGGGUGAGAGUGAUCCGGACAGAGGCGAGACAGGCGGUCUCCACCCCCGCCGCCCUCUUGGGAGAGAAAGGAAAAAAAAGAACGAGAGAAAAAAAAGACGGGAGAAAGGGAAUAAAGAUAUUUUGGUCUUUUUUGAAAAUCAGGCUCGAAUGCAAAAUCUAAAAAUACGGCCUACUUUUACAAAAGCUCAAAACUAGUAAAUUUUUUAUGCAAAUUGGCCCUAAUUAAUUAUUUGAUAUUCAUCAGAAAUAUUCAUAUAUAUAAAAGUCGUUGGAAAAUGCAUUAAAACCCCGUUAACUACAGACUAUUAUGAAAGAAGCCUCGCGAAUUUAAAGUCUUUGGUUAACACCUUGAUUUUUUAUAUUUUUGGAAUUGACUAAUUUUUUUCAAUUAAAUUAGAGAUUUUAUCCAACUCAUCAGCAAUUUCAUCAAAUUUGGUAAUUUUAAUUACUUUUUAGCAAAUAAAUUAAAAUAUUUAAUGAUCAAUAGCUGAAAAGGAAUUUGCAUUUAAUAUAAGUCUUAGUCCCUCUGUUAUCAUGAUCCCUACAAUUAGGGCCGGCAAAUGAGCGAGCCGGCUCGCGUUCGACUCGAGACUUGAUAUUUGGCUCACUCGAGCUCGACUCGAAAUUAAAUAAGCCGAACUUGAUCAAAAAAAAAAGGGCUCAAAAUUCAUUUCAAGCCGAGCUUGAGUAUUACUCGGCUUGUUCGAAUUAGGCUCGAAAACCGAGAAUAUAUAUAUAUAUAUAUAGAGAGAGAGAGAGAGAGAGAGCUACUAUGCUAUCGUAAGUAUAGAGAAUCUGGUGCUUCCGAUUUUUUGAUUCUUACAUCAAUCACUUUAAUCAUUUCUUACCUUUAGAUUAAUACUAUUAUUACCAUGUAGGGACCACUCAAUCCUAAGGGUAUUAUUUAAUCCUAGGGAGGACCGCAAUCAUCUCAAUCGUAUAAUUCUUAAUCAAAGGGUCAAAAAUUCGGAAGUAUCAAAUUCUCUAUAUUUUCGAUAGCAUAGUAGUUCUACACUAUAUAUAUAUAUAUAUAUAUAUAUAUAUAUAUAUAUAUAUAUAGAGAGAGAGAGAGAGAGAGAGCUACUAUGCUAUCGUAAGUAUAGAGAAUCUGGUGCUUCCGAUUUUUUGAUUCUUACAUCAAUCACUUUAAUCAUUUCUUACCUUUAGAUUAAUACUAUUAUUACCAUGUAGGGACCACUCAAUCCUAAGGGUAUUAUUUAAUCCUAGGGAGGACCGCAAUCAUCUCAAUCGUAUAAUUCUUAAUCAAAGGGUCAAAAAUUCGGAAGUAUCAAAUUCUCUAUAUUUUCGAUAGCAUAGUAGUUCUACACUAUAUAUAUAUAUAUAUAUAUAUAUAUAUAUAUAUAUAUAUAUAGAGAGAGAGAGAGAGAGAGAGNAAGGCGGAAAAGAAGACAUGUGAGGCUGAAAAGAUUAGAUAUUCAACUCAUAAAUUAUUUUUCUUCAUAUUAUAAUACCAUAUUUCAUAUAAUUAUUUUGUACUUUGAACUAUUAGACAUAUUUUUGUAUCAAAUUAUAGAUAAUGUUCUAUACAAAUUAAACUAUUGAUUGUAUGAUGUUGAGGAUUUCAAGGGGCUCGUUUAAGGCUCGAGCUUGCUCGACUCGAAAUUAGGCUUGCUCGAGCUCGGCUCGAAUUAAUUUCAAACCAAGCUUGAGCUUAAAUUUAGGCUCGAAAUUAAUUUCAAGCCGAAUUUGAGCCGAGGUAAACUCGCUUGAGCUCGGCUCGUUUCCACCCCUACCUACAAUUAAUGGAGUUUAAAUAUUUUAGUUUACACUGAGAACAAUUUAGGGUUAAUUGUAUGUGUGUCCAUACAAAGCAAUAAAAUUGCAUUUUUACCUCUACAAAAUUUUAUAUUAUCUCUAUAAAGUUGUAGUUAGCAAAUAUAUAUUCCACUAAAGUUUCAUAGUUUGCAAAUAUGUCCUUCUCCGUUAGUUAACCGGUUAGCAAAAUUACCAUUUUAUCUAUAAAUAAAUAAAUAAAUAAAUAAAUAUAUAUAUAUAUAUAUAUAUAUAUAUAUAUAUUAUAUUUAAUAGUAUUUAUAAUUUUUAAUAUUUUUAUUCUAACUUACAUUCCAUUCUAUGUGUACCUUAUAUUAUAAAUUUCAAUAACAAUUUUUUAAAAAAUCGCAGUCCGGUGAAAAUUUAACGUCAACUAAUAAUAGUCAACCUGUCGGAAUAAACUUUUAUAUUUUGGAGAUUUCGAGAAAUAUAUUUAAUAAUUAAACUUUUAUAAGGAUGCAAUAAAAUUUUGGAGGAACAAAAAUAUGCAAUUUCAUAGCUUUGUAGGGACACGUAUGCAAUUAUUCCAACAAUUUAAGUUUUAAUAUGCACGGAUAGUAACUUUAUUGCCCCUACGGCAACUUAUUUCCUAUACAUUUUCAAUUUAGGUACGUUAGGCUUAAAAAUUUUAAAUAUAUUACACUUUAACCCUUGAUCAUUAAUAAUAAAAUUUAAUCAUGUUUAAUAUUAUGUUUGACUAUGAUAGUAAUAAUAAUAUUUAAUUAUGUUUUGAAGUACACUUAAAAUAAGGGGAAUCACUUAAAAUAGAAGGACAAAGUGUUUAUUUUGUAAAAAAACUUUUAGCCAUUUUUGAGUAAAAAAUUUUGUAAGAAACUUUUAGCCAUUUUUAAGUAAAAAUUUUGUAAAAAUUCUCGUAAAUUUUUUUUAUUUUUCUCUCAUAAAGUAAGCUUAUUUUCAUAAUUGAAAUACUUUUUCCUUUUGUAGUUGUAUGUUUCUUUAUAAUUAGACCUUCUCGAGUAUUUACUAUCAAAUCUUUUACCAUUUACGUUAGAAACAAUCGGUGAUUAUAGAUAACUGUUUGCAGAAGAAAUGUAUCCUUUAGGUUGGAAAUUAAACAUCUUUGUUUGGCAGUUAACUGCCAUUUUCAAUGAAAGAAAACUGACAAUUAAGUUGAUAAAUAUCAACAUUUACUUUUCUAUGGGUUAUAUAUAUAUAUAGGGGGCCUACAUCAUUCUAACCGCACACCUUUUAAUCCAAGAAUGGAAAACUUAAUAGCACCAAGUCAUUGGUGCUAUUAAUAGUAUUCUAGCCUAGUUUUAUAUAUAUAUAUAGAGAGAGAGAGAGAGUUGGACUGGGCUACUAUUAGUAGCAAAAUCUCAUUGUUGCUACCAGUUUUUUAGCCUUUGGAUCAACUCUUUUCAUUAUUUCUAACCAUUGGAUUAAAUACUAUAACCCAGUGGGGACCACUCAACUCUAUGGGGACCACUCAACUCUAACCGACUAAUAUCAUCCUGACCUUAUAAUUUUUCAUCCAAAGAUUAAAAACUUGAUAACAAAAAGAACGUUUUACUAUUAAUAGUAUUCCAGCCUAAUUCUAUAUAUAUAUAUAUAUAGAUAUCCUUCUUUUGGGAUGAAUAAGUAAUAAAAUCAAGUUCAUGGGUUGUUUCCUCAUGUUUCUAGUGGGGCCAUAUAUAUGUACAUAUUAUACAUGGAUAAGCAAAAACCAAUAGGUAACCUACACUCAUGAACAUCAUGUGAAACAUCAAGGAAUUUAGAUGAGAAACUUCUUGAUCAAGUAGUGUUUGUCCAAAAGCAUAUAUAGCUCAUCACCAUCAAAGAGAAAAAAAAAAAAAAGGAGAAUAGUCCUUUACAAGGAGAAAGAGAAAAUUGACUCUAUAAAGAAGUGAGAUGCACAACAAAAAGAUGACAUAUAUACUAUUCUAAAGUUUGAGAGCAACUAACAUCGUCGACCCACACACAAUAGAUGCUUACUUGGAUGCUUAUACUUUAAGCUUCGGCUUAUUCUGAUGUCUAGCUAUUUGUUCCCCAAUAAUAUAAUGCGAGUUUGUCUCAGAACAUUUAUAUAUAGAGAGAGAGAGUCAGGUUAUUAUAUUCUUACGUAUUUGAAUUUUUUAUACUUAUAAGCUUUCGCUGUUAGAUCUAUCCAUUUAAUCAUUUUUAUUAGAUUAUACAAUUCAACGAACCACCCCCUCAACUCUAGAGGAUCACUAUCAUUCUGAUCGGAGACCACUAUCAUCCUAGCCGCACUCUUCAUCCAACGAUCGAAAAUUUAUGAAUACAAAGGUUUCUAUACUCAUAAAAAGUAAUAGUAGCGCUACUAUAUAUGAGUAGGCCCCUUCAUACUAAUAAGUUUUUUUUUUUAUAAUGGAACUUCUGAAUUGAUGAUCAAUACCGUUAAAUAUGAUCCAGAGUAUUUGAAAUUUAUAAAAAAUAAAUUUCAUAAUUUUUGAAAUUAUGUUAAAUUUUAUCAAGCGGGUAUAAAAUGAACGGUCGAAAUUGAACAACCUCUUAAAAAUAUAUGAUCGGAUUCUUUAAUUUAAGAUCGGAGCUAUUGAUCUUUAUUUAGAUAGUGAAUAAAAUUUUCUAUUAAAAAUUCAACCGAUUUGAUUCUUUUAUACGUUAAACUAGCAAGCAUCUCAUACCAGCCGCGCGUUAAAAAUUAUCAAUUUUAAGAUCUUUUAAUCUUAAGGUAAAUGAUGUCGAAAAGUUAUAAAAUUUGAUUCCUAAAAGUUUUAAAUGCUUUAAAUUAUAUUUAAAGGUAUGAAUUAUCGAUUCGGAAUCUUUAUUAUCGAAAACGACUUAUAAAUAUUGUCAUGCUCAUAAAAGUAUAGAAGCCGAACUUUAUAUAUAUGGCACUCAAAGAUACGUGUUGUUUACUAAUAGUGAGUAAGUCCUUAUAAUGAAAAGAAACAAAUACAAGUUCAACAUGUUGAAACUCAAUAUAGUAUUGGUGUUGAACAUGUCCAUCUAUGUACAUAUAAGUGUUGCGUGUUCUAUACUUCUAUUGCGAUACAUGAUGAAAGUUAAAGGCAAAGUAAGAUUAAUCGUGCAUGUCAUUUUCAUCAUGUUAAAGCUUCAGGAAAAUGUUUUAUAAUGAAAGAGGACGAAGAGGAGUGUUGGAGAAGUAAUUGUGGGGGUUUGAACUAAAUGGGUUUGGUCCACCACCUCCCUACUACAAUUUCCUAUUCCUUUAUGGAGAUUUGGCACGAAAUUAAGGGGAAAUUAGAUAUAAUAAUGCUAUUGCAAAGUGGAAGUAGAGAUUAAGAUUAAGCUACUUUUGUAUUAAGUAAGCUCAGCUAUUUAUGUUGUUGCGUGUAGAAUUUUCUUUCACCAAAAAAACAUGAUGUUAAAUAAUUAAAGUGACAUGCUUAAUUAUAUAUUUCGACUUUUCUAUUGCUAUGCAUUGAUUGUCUACAUGGUACUUGAUUAGUUGCUUACCCUUUAGAAUAGUUUUUCUUUUUCUUUUUUUUCUUUUUUUGAAAAAAAAUGAUAGCAUGCUUUUCCUUACAGAAUUUGUUAAUUAUUUUUUUUAGAAAUAAAAUAAGUUUGAAUUGUAAAGCAAUUAAUUAACUAAGUUUCAAACUUAAAAUCUCGUUUAUCAAUUAUAAAGUUCUUCGCCACCUGCGCUAGGGAUCGAUGGUCAGUACGUAAUAGCUUUUUUGUUAUAAAAAUUAAAACCGUGUGUACUCGACAAUAGAAACUCUUGUUAAAACUAUUUAACUAUUGUAGAAAUUA